rnacentral:rRNA from 1 species
GGGCCCGCACAAGCGGUGGAGUAUGUGGUUUAAUUCGAUGCAACGCGAAGAACCUUACCAGGGUUUGACAUCCUGCGAAUCUCUUGGAAACAGGAGAGUGCCUUCGGGAACGCAGUGACAGGUGGUGCAUGGCUGUCGUCAGCUCGUGUCGUGAGAUGUUGGGUUAAGUCCCGCAACGAGCGCAACCCACAUCCCUAGUUGCCAGCAGUUCGGCUGGGCACUCUAUGGAAACUGCCCGUGAUAAGCGGGAGGAAGGUGUGGAUGACGUCAAGUCCUCAUGGCCCUUACGGGUUGGGCUACACACGUGCUACAAUGGCUAGGACAGACGGCCGCAAACCCGCGAGGGGGAG